UCAAACUGUUAUAUGUCUAAUCAUAAGCCUCGACAUUUAUUCUAUUGCCAGCCUUUGAGCCGUCCACAUCUUUUUAUACUUCUUUUUUGAUCAAUUUUAUUUUCUAAUUGUGUGUUCCUAAAAAAAUUAAAAUAUUACAAAAAAUAAUAAACAGACUGAGCUGUCCGGCUUUUUAAUUUUUGUAAAAAUUUUUUUUGUUUUAAAUAGUAAAAAAAAUAAGACUGAAAAGUACGAAAAAUCUUAAGAAAUACGAUGGUUCCAGAAGCGGCAUAUUAAAGAAGAGGACCAGUAAUCCCAGUAACUGGAUCUUGCGGACCUUCAUCCAUUGUAGUUCAUCAUUGUGGGACCUGAGCAAGAUCGUAUCCAACGUUAAAGAAUAAUGCCCAGAACAGGCGUCCACGUUGGCUUGCUGAUCUUGAAAAACUUGUAGGCCUGGAAGCUUUUCAUCAUGAAAAACUUGUAGUCCUGGAAGCGUUUCAUGAUUAGCAAGACACCUUGAACGCAUGCGCUGGAGAUUUGGCGUGAUAUGAGUUACUCUGAUGGACCGUCUAUAAAUAAAGGCAACAAAAUUUUAAA